rnacentral:lncRNA from 1 species
AGCACACGAAUCCUAUCAUCAAUAUCCGUCAAAAUUUGCUUAACCAAUCGACCCACCUCAUUCAAAUCCAUCGUAUUCAAACUCUGCAAUAUCCCAUUUCCACUCAGGCUUUCGAACAUGACUUUGUUCAACUCCUUCCGGUAAUUCUCCUCCUGCAGUUUCCAAAGCUGUUGAGUGUCUUUGGCUAAGCUUUGCUCAAGGAAACUCUCUUGGUUCAACAUCUUAUUGUUUUGUUUCGAAAGGGGCAGCUGCUUGAACUCGGACAGCAAGCGUCGGGCAUCCUCGAGGGACGGCCAUACCUCCGCUUGAGAGCCGAAAUCAGGGGAGUUGAUAAUUGCAAAAGCUUCAAUCCCACAAAGGGUAUGAGUUCACGCACCUUCUUCACCAGACC